GAUGAAGAACGUAGCGAAAUGCGAUAAGUAGUGUGAAUUGCAGAAUUCAGUGAAUCAUCGAAUCUUUGAACGCACAUUGCACCUCUCAGUAUUCCGGGAGGUAUGCCUGUUCGAGCGUCAUUUGUACCCUCAAGCUCUGCUUGGUGUUGGGUGUUUGUUCCGCCUCUGUGUGUGAACUCGCCUCAAAACAAUUGGCAGCCGGCGUACUUGUUUCGGAGCGCAGCACAUUUUGCGAUCCAGAUCAACGUACAGCGGCAUCCAAGAAGCCUUAUUUAACGCUCUUGACCUCGGAUCAGGUAGGGAUACCCGCUGAACUUAAGCAUAUCAAUAAGCGGAGGA
rnacentral:misc_RNA from 1 species